UACGUAGGGGGCAAGCGUUAUCCGGAAUUACUGGGUGUAAAGGGAGCGUAGACGGCAGAGCAAGUCCGGAGUGAAAGCCCGGGGCCCAACCCCGGGACUGCUCUGGAAACUGUUAAGCUGGAGUGCGGGAGGGGCAGGCGGAAUUCCUGGUGUAGCGGUGAAGUGCGUAGAUAUCAGGAGGAACACCGGCGGCGAAGGCGGCCUGCUGGACCGUGACUGACGUUGAGGCUCGAAAGCGUGGGGAGCAAACAGG
rnacentral:rRNA from 1 species